UGUCCAGUAGCACCUUAGAGACCAACUAAGUCUGUUCUGGGUAUAAGCUUUCGUGUGUUUGAAGAAGUGUGCAUGCACACGAAAGCUUAUACUCAGAACCAACUUAGUUGGUCUCUAAGGUGCUACUGGACA